CGGGGUGGAUUAGUGGCGAACGGGUGAGUAACACGUGGGCAAUCUGCCCUUCACUCUGGGACAAGCCCUGGAAACGGGGUCUAAUACCGGAUAACACUCCUACAGGCAUCUGUGGGGGUUGAAAGCUCCGGCGGUGAAGGAUGAGCCCGCGGCCUAUCAGCUUGUUGGUGAGGUAGAAGCUCACCAAGGCGACGACGGGUAGCCGGCCUGAGAGGGCGACCGGCCACACUGGGACUGAGACACGGCCCAGACUCCUACGGGAGGCAGCAGUGGGGAAUAUUGCACAAUGGGCGAAAGCCUGAUGCAGCGACGCCGCGUGAGGGAUGACGGCCUUCGGGUUGUAAACCUCUUUCAGCAGGGAAGAAGCGAAAGUGACGGUACCUGCAGAAGAAGCGCCGGCUAACUACGUGCCAGCAGCCGCGGUAAUACGUAGGGCGCAAGCGUUGUCCGGAAUUAUUGGGCGUAAAGAGCUCGUAGGCGGUCUGUCACGUCAGAUGUGAAAGCCCGGGGCUUAACCCCGGGUCUGCAUUCGAUACGGGCAGACUAGAGUGUGGUAGGGGAGAUCGGAAUUCCUGGUGUAGCGGUGAAAUGCUCAGAUAUCAUGAGGAACAC
rnacentral:rRNA from 1 species